AUGCUCCGUCUUAUAAAUAAGGUUUAUGAAUAGGGAGGCUAUUCUAUACAUUCGAUAGCGAAAAAAUGGUCAUCAGCUGUUUCGAGUUUGACGUUUAUUUCCGACGUCAGUCACUCAGUUAUAACUUAUAAGGCUUCUCUAAGUAAUCUGUGGUUAUAAGUAAACAAAACAAUGUGAUUGUAGCGCAUCUUUUUCAUUUCAAUAUUUUUAUUUACAAACGAAAUGCAAGCUUUACAAUCCCUGCAUUGCAUUGCAGUAAUUAAAAGUACAUCGCGUAGGAAAGUGUAUCGUCAGCGAUUCGAUCCAUUUUCUCUGGAUGAUGAAGGAUUUCGUAAACAGUAUCGUUUCUCCAAACAAACUGCUGCUUUUAUAAUUGACGUAGUCCGCGAAGAGUUGCAGCUGCAACGUAAAGGAUGUGGCACAUCACCAGAACUGCAGGUAUUAACUGCAAUAAGGUGUUGGGUUCGUCGUGAGAAUCAAGAAGAUGCUGGAGACUUCCACGGAUUGUCUCAAGCAACUAUCAGCCGAAUAUGCAGCAGAGUAGCGCAUGCGCUCGCGCGACACCCUCCGGAUCAUAUGGUGAUGCCCACAUCUUCUACAGAGGAACAACAGCUUGUGUCAGAAUUUUACCAUGUACUUCCUAUCUGUAAUUAGAUGUAUUGAUUAAAAAGACAUGGUGGCGUUGCAGCCCAAUAUUGUAUAAAUAGUAAAGGAUAUUUUUCCUCAACAUUCAGGUAAGAUUUUCAGGAAUAUUUAAAAAUAUUCUAUGAUAGGUAUUACUUUAUUGUAUAAACAAGACUCUGAAUUAUUGUAGGUGACAUGUAAUGCUAAUCUUUCAAUCAGGGACAUUGUUGUUGUUUUUUAUUUAUAUUGGACCCCACGGUCACUACCGGGGGAAACCUGCAAAUGCAAUACUGGAAUCCCUUGGCUUAGAAUGCAAGGCCCUCGGGGAAAGUCAGGAAGGGAUACCAGAGAAGAAAAUGUGGGGAAAGGACCAUAUUUAUCCACACCUGUGUUGAGACAACUUAGUCAUGCUGAAAAGAAAUACAAUGAAGCACUUAUUGCAACAAUAAAUGUGGAACAUUGCUUUGGUGUAUGGAAACAGCGCUUUCAAUGUCUGCUCCAUGGCAUGUCUAUUAAAUUUUUGGCAAUAUAAAGACUACUAUUGUGGCUGUUGCACAACAUUGCAUUUGCUCAAAGACAUUACCUGGGAAGUGUGUCCAAUGUUGAAUAGGUGUCAAAAUCAUCUAUAAUUAACACUGACCAAAACCUUAGACAGCAGAAACUUUGCCAUUCUACAGGCUUUUAACUGGCUUCAAAAAAAGGAGGUUCUCAAUUCAACUGUAUUUUCUUUUUAUGUUUGUUACCUCAGAACUUUUGACUGGGUGAACCGAUUUAGACAAUUCUUUAUUUGUUCGAAAGCUAAUGUUUCCCAUGUGGUUCCAUAUAAAUUUCAUUGUUAUUGGACUUGUGACUUGGGAGAUAAAACAGAACAACUGAUUUCUACUAUUAUUAUUACAAAAAAGCAAAAAAUAAAAUCUUUUAUUUAAACAUUAGACAUUAAAAUUGCUAGAGCUAGAUAAAUACAUGAACAAAUGUACGAAAACAAUGUUUAAUUUUUAUUAGGCACCAACUCCAAAAUUGGUAACCUGUAUAUAGGUUUAAUGUUAAAUAUUUUUUGUGGUUUUUGAAGGCGGUAUAAUAUACCUAGGAACUUCUAUGAAAGAGGUCCACACCCAAAGGUAAUAAAACAUCAUAUAGUUUAGUACUCAUCAUUUUUUGAUAUAAAAUAUUUAAUUUUUUUUUUAAGUAACAUUUCUUUUAAUACUAAAUUUUUGUUUUUCUGUCUUUCAUUUGCCAUUUGUAUAGAAUGCAGCUCUUUCCUGCACUGUAUUUCGAAAUGAGCUAUUUGUUCCGCAGGUGUGCGACAGAUCUGAAAUAAUACAAUAUACAAUGAUUUGAAGUAAUAGCAUAACUUUUCUUUUGAUAUUUACUUAUGAUUAAUGACGGGUGUGUGUGUGUUUUUUUUAACAAGACUGAAGUUAGCUUGAAAAGCGUCGGCUUAUACAAACACACUGGCCUUUUGGGGGAGCGCUAAUAGACGCUGGUAACCCUUGAAAAUUAGUGACCAUGCUGAGGUCAUCCCACUACCGGAUUCAGCUCAGGAUGGUUGGUCUCUUGGAAGGAUGAGACUUCAACGAGUAGGAAUGAGCGUACUAACGACAAUUUAUUAUCCUUUUCGUCGGUAUGCGGACCGGAACUAUCAGAAGGGUCAGGGGGACAGGGAACGCAGCGAGGACGGAACUGCGUUCUUGUAGAGCGUAGAGUUUCCGGAACUCUUUCUUAUGGCGAAUAGCCAGAGUGGUAUUGUACUCUAGGUUGGUUAGAACUAAACGCGAUCGUCUCCGUUUAGCGCGUUCGAAUGGAGGCGGGUAUGGUGACUGGUAAAUUAUAUAAAUAAAUGUUAUCAAGUUUACAUUCACACCCAUUUUUCAUUCAGUUGUAUGCUACAUAAAUAUGGAAUUUAAAAUUUAACUUACUUUAGGUACUUUUUUUUUUAUUUUAGUUUGUUUUUUUGGCUGUUCGUCUAAAGCCACUGGAGAUGGUUUUGGAGGCUCCACAACUGUAAUCUGAUAAUUAAAUUUUAUUUAUUUAAAUGUACAAUAGUAUUCUACAGGUUUAUAGGAUUAAGAUGGAAUUAUUUUAUAAUUCUAAAUGCCUCCUUUAGUUUUUCAGGUGAAGGUGGAUUUGUAGGAGGCACAACUGUUACUUUAAAAUAUUAUUAUUACAUGAGGCAUAUUGACCUUAUAUUUAAAUAAAGAUUUAAAGAGUGGC